AGAAUCUUCCGCAAUGGGCGAAAGCCUGACGGAGCGACACCGCGUGCAGGAUGAAGGCCUUCGGGUUGUAAACUGCUGUCAGAUUCUAGGAACCACUUGGUGUUAAUAGCGCCAAGUGUGACCACGAUCAAAGGACGCAACGGCUAACUCUGUGCCAGCAGCCGCGGUACGACAGAGUUUGCAAACGUUGUUCGGAAUUACUGGGCAUAAAGCGCACGUAGGCGGUUCGUUAAGUCAUGUGUGAAAUCCCCCGGCUCAACCGGGGAAUUGCGCCUGAUACUGGCGGGCUAGAGAUCGAUAGGGGUGAGCGGAACUCCAGGUGGAGCGGUGAAAUGCGUAGAUAUCUGGAGGAACACCGGUGGCGAAAGCGGCUCACUGGAUCGAAACUGACGCUGAGGUGCGAAAGCUAGGGUAGCAAAC
rnacentral:rRNA from 1 species